UAUUUUAACUGUGCAAAGGUAGCAUAAUCAUUAGUCUUUUAAUUGAAGGCUUGUAUGAAUGGUUGGACGAAAUAUUAACUGUUUCAUAAAAUUUAUUUAGAAUUUUAUUUUUUAGUUAAAAAGCUAAAAUUUUUUUAAAAGACGAGAAGACCCUAUAGAUCUUUAUAAUUUAUUUAUUAUAGUUAUAUAGAUUAUUUAAAUUAUGAUUUUAUAAAUUAUUUUGUUGGGGUGACAUUAAAAUUUAAUAAACUUUUAAUAAAUUUUUACAUUAAUUUAUGAAUUAUUGAUCCAUUAUUAGUGAUUAUAAAAUUAAGUUACCUUAGGGAUAACAGCGUAAUUUUUUUGAAGAGUUCAUAUCGAUAAAAAAGAUUGCGACCUCGAUGUUGGAUUAA
rnacentral:rRNA from 1 species